rnacentral:rRNA from 1 species
CCUACGGGUGGCAGCAGUCGAGAAUCAUUCACAAUGGGGGAAACCCUGAUGGUGCGACGCCGCGUGGGGGAAUGAAGGUCUUCGGAUUGUAAACCCCUGUCAUGUGGGAGCAAAUUAAAAAGAUAGUACCACAAGAGGAAGAGACGGCUAACUCUGUGCCAGCAGCCACGGUAAUACAGAGGUCUCAAGCGUUGUUCGGAAUCACUGGGCGUAAAGCGUGCGUAGGCUGUUUCGUAAGUCGUGUGUGAAAGGCGCGGGCUCAACCCGCGGACGGCACAUGAUACUGCGAGACUAGAGUAAGGGAGGGGGAACCGGAAUUCUCGGUGUAGCAGUGAAAUGCGUAGAUAUCGAGAGGAACACUCGUGGCGAAGGCGGGUUCCUGGACAUUAACUGACGCUGAGGCACGAAGGCCAGGGGAGCGAAAGGGAUUAGAUACCCUAGUAGUC